rnacentral:tRNA from 1 species
GGAGAGGUGGCAGAGUGGUCGAAUGCGCUCCCCUGCUAAGGGAGUAGCCGGUUUAAACCGGCUCGCGGGUUCGAAUCCCGCCCUCUCCG